ensembl:lncRNA
ACGGUACAGAGUCAAUGUGGAGGCUAUAUACAGGGGGUACUUGUACAGAGUCAAUGUGGAGGCUAUAUACAGGGGUACCAGUACAGAGUCAAUGUGGAGACUAUAUACAGGGGUACUGGUACAGAGUCAAUGUGGAGGCUAUAUACAGGGGGUACCGGUACAGAGUCAAUGUGGAGGCUAUAUACAGGGGGUACCGGUACAGAGUCAAUGUGGAGACUAUAUACAGGGGGUACCGGUACAGAGUCAAUGUGGAGGCUAUAUACAGGGGGUACCAGUACAGAGUCAAUGUGGAGGCUAUAUACAGGGGGUACCAGUACAGAGUCAAUGUGGAGGCUAUAUACAGGGUAUUACGGUACAGAGUCAAUGUGGAGGCUAUAUACAGGGGGUACUGGUACAGAGUCAAUGUGGAGGCUAUAUACAGGGGGUACCGGUACAGAGUCAAUGUGGAGGCUAUAUACAGGGGGUACCGGUACAGAGUCAAUGUGGAGGCUAUAUACAGGGGUACCAGUACAGAGUCAAUGUGGAGGCUAUAUACAGGGGGUACCAGUACAGAGUCAAUGUGGAGACUAUAUACAGGGGGUACCAGUACAGAGUCAAUGUGGAGGCUAUAUACAGGGGGUACCAAUACAGAGUCAAUGUGGAGGCUAUAUACAGGGGGUACCAGUACAGAGUCAAUGUGGAGGCUAUAUACAGGGGGUACCAGUACAGAGUCAAUGUGGAGGCUAUAUACAGGGGGUACCAAUACAGAGUCAAU